UUGCCAGACUCCUACGGGAGGCAGCAGUGGGGGCUCUUGCACAAUGGGGGCAACCCUGCUGCCGCGACGCCGCGUGGGUGAAGAAGCGCCUCGGCGCGUACCGCCCUGUCAGCAGGGCCGCAAAUGACGGUACCUGAAGAAGAAGCCCCGGCUAACUACGUGCCAGCAGCCGCGGUAAUACGUAGGGGGCAAGCGUUAUCCGGAUUUACUGGGUGUAAAGGGGGCGCAGACGGCAGCGCAAGCCAGGAGUGAAAGCCCGGGGCCCAACCCCGGGACUGCUCUUGGAACUGCGCGGCUGGAGUGCAGGAGGGGCAGGCGGAAUUCCUGGUGUAGCGGUGAAAUGCGUAGAUAUCAGGAGGAACACCGGUGGCGAAGGCGGCCUGCUGGACGGCGACUGACGUUGAGUCCCGAAAGCGUGGGGAGCAAACAGGAUUAGAUACCCCUGUAA
rnacentral:rRNA from 1 species